CGACAUUGCCAUCAGCCCGAGGCGCGUGGCAUUCAGAGCUGAUUUCGGUUCCAGAUUUUCUUUGAUGGAUGUGUUACCGUCAGUGCUGGAUUUUGAAUUAAUCUUCAGAAAAUUGGUUUCAAGAAGCAACUCCAUACAUCAACGUCAACAGCAAACCUGGAAUGGCACAUUGAACUAAAGCACCCAGCUAGCCUUUCAAGGAAGUGUGUGCGUCUUAACAGUGUCUGCUGUCUGAAGGAAACAGAGCUGAUAGCUAAUGACAUCUGACAGAGGCCGUCUGUUAUGGUCAUGUGAUACUGUCUCAGAGCAGCAAAGGCCCUCUUAAGAGAUGUGGUCUGACCAUGAAUCCAUGCCAGAAAUAGAAGACUGGCCACUAUACAGGGUUCCCAUACAGUAAUUGAAAGUAUUGUAUUUGAAUCUUUUGUUUGGAAUUUGAAAGAAAAGAGUAUGAAAAACGUUUUUGUUUCCAGACCUGCCUGUUUUUGAAAUAUGAAAAUCAUAAUUUCUGCAAAAACAAAUCGAUCAUUCAGGCAGAGUGUUUAUCAUAGCCUUCCGAACAAACACGAUAUUUACCCCUGUGUAAGAGUUUGCGGGCCAGACCGAGCUUGAUGUUGUUGAAAACAAGGCAAGAAGUAUGGAGUGAGACCGAUCACACACACCUACGCAGAGCUGCCUCUACGCCUGUAUGUCACAGCCUGCAAAACACCUCUUAGAGCUGUACCAGUUUGUGACCAAAUUCAUUUGAAAGAAAGUGUCAUAAAUGUUUCAUUAUAAAUAAUCAAAUGAUAAUCCUGUCUGAACAUUUAGGACUUAUGCAGUGUUGUAGUUGUCAGAAAAGUGAACAGACCAUCUUUUCUGCAUGUUGUUGCGUGAUCAAUGGGAAUCAUUUUAACCAUACAAGGUCAGGUGUCGAUAUUAAGGUCACAGGCAGAAAUACCUGCGGUUAAAAUGUCUGUGCCAUAUUUUAUGUAAAAAAAAAAAAACAACGGGAGCUGAAAACCAGAAUCUGUGAGCAUAAGCAUUCUAUUCGUAACUUCCAUGUUAAAUCAUCAGUAGCCAGGCAUUUUAACAGUCAUGACUACAGUUUGAGUGAACUACAUUAUAUGGGCAUUGAGACAGUGAGAAUGCUUUGGAGAGGUGGUAACAGGGACAGAAUCCUAUUCCAGAGUGAAGCCCAUUGGAUAUACUCAACAAUCUGAUUCCAAAGGGACUGAAUGAGGUGAUUUAAUUUACUUGUUUCCUGUGAUACUAAUAUGUACUAUGUUAUUUCUGUGAGACAGUUAAUAGACCCUGUGAGGUCUUUGGCUCUCCAUCAAAAGGAUGCAGCGUUUCCUAUCGGCAUAUAUCUGUUGUGCAGUUUUGGAUAACCUAUAAUUUGCGCAACUGUGUAGUUUUACUGUGAUUUUGCCAAAACACAGGCUGAAGUAGUGCCUGAAAAGUCUACGUGGCAAGGAUAAACAGUUUGAUUGGAGUGCUGUUCAUUAUUUUGUAUUGUUUAGUCACUACAAGACAGAUUCAGCACCCUGCACUGAAGCUAU